rnacentral:rRNA from 1 species
UGGGUNGGNUAGNCGCACGAGCGCACCCCUAUCCUUAUUUGCCAGCACGUAAUGGUGGGAACUCUANGGAGACUGCCGGAUGAUAAACCGGAGGAAGGUGGGGACGACGUUCAAGUCAUCAUGGCCCUUACGAGUAGGGCUACACACGUGCUACAAUGGCGUAUACAGAGGGUUGCAAAGCCGCGAGGUGGAGCUAAUCUCACAAAGUACGUCGUAGUCCGGAUCGGAGUCUGCAACUCGACUCCGUGUAGUCGGAAUCGCUAGUAAUCGUGGAUCAGAAUGCCACGGUGAAUACUUUCCCGGGCCUUGUACACACCGCCCGUCACACCAUGGGAGUGGGCUGCAAAAGAAGUGGGUAGUUUAACCUUCGGGAGAACGCUCACCACUUUGUGGUUCAUGACUGGGGUGAAGUCGUAACANGGUANCCCUAGGGGAANCNGGGGCUGGAUCACCUCCUU